GACGAACCGUACGAACGUUAUUCGGAAUCACUGGGCUUAAAGGGUGCGUAGGCGGCGCAGUAAGUUGGGUGUGAAAUCCCUCGGCUUAACCGAGGAAUUGCGCCCAAAACUACUGUGCUCGAGGGAGGUAGAGGUGAGCGGAACUUAGGGUGGAGCGGUGAAAUGCGUUGAUAUCCUAAGGAACACCAGUGGCGAAGGCGGGCUCACUGGCCCGGUACUGACGCUGAGGUGCGAAAGCGUGGGGAGCAAACAGG
rnacentral:rRNA from 1 species